rnacentral:rRNA from 1 species
UACGUAGGGUCCGAGCGUUGUCCGGAUUCAUUGGGCGUAAAGAGCUCGUAGGCGGCUUGGUUAGUUGGGUGUGAAACCUCCAGCUUAACCUGGAGACGCCACUCAAUACUGCCAUGGCUAGAGUCCGGUAGGGGACCACGGAAUUCCUGGUGUAGCGGUGAAAUGCGCAGAUAUCAGGAGGAACACCGGUGGCGAAGGCGGUGGUCUGGGCCGGCACUGACGCUGAGGAGCGAAAGCGUGGGGAGCGAACAGG